GACGUAGGAGGCGAGCGUUAUCCGGAUUCACUGGGCGUAAAGCGCAUGUAGGCGGUUGGAUAAGUCCGUUGUUAAAGCCCCUGGCUCAACUGGGGGAGGUCAAUGGAAACUAUUCGACUUGAGGGCAACAGAGGCACAUGGAACUCCCGGUGUAGCGGUGGAAUGCGUAGAGAUCGGGAAGAACACCCGUGGCGAAGGCGGUGUGCUGGGUUGCAACGUGACGCUGAGAGUGCGAAAGCGUGGGGAGCAAACAGGG
rnacentral:rRNA from 1 species